AGAGCGAACGCUGGCGGCAGGCCUAACACAUGCAAGUCGAGCGCGUGUAGCAAUACACGAGCGGCAGACGGGAGAGUAACACGUGGGAACGCGCCCUUUGGUUCGGAAUAACUCAGGGAAACUUGAGCUAAUACCGGAUAAGCCCUUACGGGGAAAGAUUUAUCGCCAAAGGAACGGCCCGCGUCCGAUUAGCUAGUUGGUGAGGUAACGGCUCACCAAGGCGACGAUCGGUAGCUGGUCUGAGAGGAUGACCAGCCUCACUGGGACUGAGACACGGCCCAGACUCCUACGGGAGGCAGCAGUGGGGAAUAUUGGACAAUGGGCGCAAGCCUGAUCCAGCCAUGCCGCGUGGAUGAUGAAGGCCUUAGGGUUGUAAAGUCCUUUUAACGGGGAAGAUAAUGACGGUACCCGUAGAAUAAGCCCGGCUAACUUCGUGCCAGCAGCCGC
rnacentral:rRNA from 1 species